UGCAAAGCGAGAAUUUGAGGAGGCAUUGAAGCUCGUGCACGUGAUGUCACCAUUUUCACGGCGCCAUAUUGCCGGUCAAACAGAGCUCCUCGGUAUUUGUGGGAGACAUUGAACCGGAGGAGAAUAUUUCCAAUAUCCGAGACCUGUUGUCCUUUUGGUUGUCACAACAGACGAGACAGCUAUUCAAAGAGAUCAUUCUAUGGGAUACCAACUGAAAAGACCAGAAAAGAUCGAUUUAUUUCGGCAAUUAAACGUGAUGGCUGGUGCCCAACGAAAUACACACGCCUGUGUAGCAAUCACGUCAUUUCAGGAUGUGGGAGGAAACUGGAGCGCCCGGAGGAAACCAACACAGGCACGGGGAGAACAUCCAAACUCCACACAGGCGAGUCUGGAAUUGAACCCGGGACCUCAGAACUGUGAGGCCAACGCUUUCCCAGCUGAUCCACCGUGCCAAUCUCUAUACCAAUACAAUUAUCAGAUGGCAGCAUGUAACAGCUGGCAGCUCAAUGACUUGGCAGGAAAUCACAGCAGCUGGGACAAAGACUUCAACAUCUUCGGCUGCCCCACGCAUAGCGACACGUACAACGCCCGCCUCGAGCCUGUAAAUAAUGGACGCCGUUUACCUGGAGCAACGGGCCGCGGGAAUGCUUAAAAACGGGAGACUGUUUGAAUCCCUCGUCAAAAACGCGCGCGCCGCGUGCGCAAAUAAGAUAAACCAUCCGUUAAAGUAAACCUUUCAAGUCUUAGUGUUUAAUGGCAGCUUUCCAAGCUUCGCGCUCCUGACCUUUGGCUUGGGAGAGCAAUUCGUACUUGACUAUAAACUGAUUUAUUGGGUAGUUAACACAUCAGUGGAGAACACUUCCCGGUUCUUAAGGG